rnacentral:misc_RNA from 1 species
GUGAGUCAUCGAAUCUUUGAACGCACAUUGCGCCCUCUGGUAUUCCGGAGGGCAUGCCUGUUCGAGCGUCAUUUCAACCCUCAAGCCUGGCUUGGUGAUGGGGCACUGCUUCCGCGAGGGAGCAGGCCCUGAAAUCUAGUGGCGAGCUCGCCAGGACCCCGAGCGCAGUAGUUAAACCCUCGCUCUGGAAGGCCCUGGCGGUGCCCUGCCGUUAAACCCCCAACUUCUGAAAAUUUGACCUCGGAUCAGGUAGGAAUACCCGCUGAACUUAAGCAUAUCAAUAAGCGGAGGA